CGAGCGGAUGAAGGAGCUUGCUCCUGGAUUCAGCGGCGGACGGGUGAGUAAUGCCUAGGAAUCUGCCUGGUAGUGGGGGACAACGUUUCGAAAGGAACGCUAAUACCGCAUACGUCCUACGGGAGAAAGCAGGGGACCUUCGGGCCUUGCGCUAUCAGAUGAGCCUAGGUCGGAUUAGCUAGUUGGUGAGGUAAUGGCUCACCAAGGCGACGAUCCGUAACUGGUCUGAGAGGAUGAUCAGUCACACUGGAACUGAGACACGGUCCAGACUCCUACGGGAGGCAGCAGUGGGGAAUAUUGGACAAUGGGCGAAAGCCUGAUCCAGCCAUGCCGCGUGUGUGAAGAAGGUCUUCGGAUUGUAAAGCACUUUAAGUUGGGAGGAAGGGUUGUAGAUUAAUACUCUGCAAUUUUGACGUUACCGACAGAAUAAGCACCGGCUAACUCUGUGCCAGCAGCCGCGGUAAUACAGAGGGUGCAAGCGUUAAUCGGAAUUACUGGGCGUAAAGCGCGCGUAGGUGGUUUGUUAAGUUGGAUGUGAAAUCCCCGGGCUCAACCUGGGAACUGCAUCCAAAACUGGCAAGCUAGAGUAUGGUAGAGGGUGGUGGAAUUUCCUGUGUAGCGGUGAAAUGCGUAGAUAUAGGAAGGAACACCAGUGGCGAAGGCGACCACCUGGACUGAUACUGACACUGAGGUGCGAAAGCGUGUGGAGCAAACAGGAUUAGAUACCCUGGUAGUCCACGCCGUAAACGAUGUCAACUAGCCGUUGGGAGCCUUGAGCUCUUAGUGGCGCAGCUAACGCAUUAAGUUGACCGCCUGGGGAGUACGGCCGCAAGGUUAAAACUCAAAUGAAUUGAC
rnacentral:rRNA from 1 species